CUACGGGCCGCAGCAGUGAGGAAUUUUGCGCAAUGGGGGAAACCCUGACGCAGCAACGCCGCGUGAGUGAUGAAGGCCUUCGGGUCGUAAAGCUCUGUCAAGUGGGAAGAACCUAUAGGAUGUUAAUAUCAUUUUAUACUGACGGUACCACUGAAGGAAGCACCGGCUACCUCCGUGCCAGCAGCCGCGGUAAUACGGGGGGUGCAAGCGUUAUUCGGAAUUAUUGGGCGUAAAGAGCGCGUAGGCGGCCAGUUAAGUCAGAUGUGAAAUCCCGGGGCUCAACCCCGGAAGUGCAUUUGAAACUAAUUGGCUUGAGUAUGGGAGAGGGAAGUGGAAUUCCUGGUGUAGAGGUGAAAUUCGUAGAUAUCAGGAGGAACACCGGUGGCGAAGGCGACUUCCUGGACCAAUACUGACGCUGAGGCGCGAAGGCGUGGGGAGCAAACAGGAUUAGAUACCCGAGUAGUC
rnacentral:rRNA from 1 species